rnacentral:sRNA from 1 species
GACCGCCCCGCCGGGGUUAAAGGCCAUACGGACAGCCGGGUCCACUGCCGA